ACCGGAUUGAUAGAUGCCACUGAUAGUAGGUACUGAAAUCAGUCUCCGAGUAGGAGCACCCUCUACAUUCAGUCAUCGCGGUGACAAUGUCAGAGUACCGAACGCGGCGGUUAUUUUGGUUAGGAAUACGAAUAUUGUGGUUCCUAAGGACACGAAACUCGACCUUGAGGCUACAUUCUUAUACAAUAGAUGGCAACAUAGUCACUUCAGUAACUGUAUGGGAUAAUAACUGCCAUCUGUUGGCUGACUCUACUAUACGUCUUACUAGUGUCCAUAUAUCAUUCCACUCCAUCAUCCGAGGCUAUUGAUGUAACCUCGAGAGAGGUGCAAAACCCACCGACAAGGGCGGUCCACUGCUGCUCUUCUAUUCAUGGUAUACCCUGUUCAUCCUGAUUAAACUACUAUCAUCUCUGUAUACAAUGCUGACUAUGUCAAGGUUAAUCUACUGAUUCAGUGGGAAUGUUACAAGGAAAUUGUAAUAUUAUGUCUGCCGCUCCGACAUCGACAAUAAUUUUGUAACGCAUUGGCCUGCCGUGAAUAUGUGGUGGAUGUUUUGUUUCCUCGGCGGGGGUUGGGGGGCGGCAGCCCCCUGCAAUGGAAAGUCAUGUGAAUAACCAUGGUUAUUUUUACUGUGGGUUAUAUUAUUAGUGUUAUUUAACCCCGCAUUUUCCCUGGAACCUUUGAUGCCCUGCCCUGUAUCGGGUCCAAGUGAUAGAAGUCAAUAUAGCAUAUUUUAUAUUCAUUACAAUGAACAUUUGAAAAAAGAUUCUUCCCACUAAGG